GAUAAACGCUGGCGGCGUGCCUAACACAUGCAAGUCGAACGCCCUACGCAAGUAGGGAGUGGCGGACGGGUGAGGAACACGUGGGUCACCUACCCUUUGGUGAGGAAUACCGGCGAGAAAUCGCCGACAAUACCGCAUAGGUUUGGAAACAAACAAAGCUCUCGCAAGAGGGCGCCAGAGGAUGGGCCUGCGUCCGAUUAGCCAGUUGGUGGGGUAAUGGCCUACCAAAGCAACGAUCGGUAGCUGGUCUGAGAGGACGAUCAGCCACACUGGGAUUGAGAACGGCCCAGACUCCUACGGGGGGCAGCAGUGAGGAAUUUUCGGCAAUGGAGGCAACUCUGACCGAGCAACGCCGCGUGCAGGAUGACGGCCUUCGGGUUGUAAACUGCUUUUCUCUGGGACGAGAACGGACGGUACCAGAGGAACAAGCCCCGGCUAACUACGUGCCAGCAGCCGCGGUAAUACGUAGGGGGCGAGCGUUGUCCGGAUUUAUUGGGCGUAAAGCGCAUGCAGGCGGUCCUGUAAGUUUGGAGUGACAGUUUCCGGCUCAACCGGGAAAGUGCUUUGAAAACUGUAGGACUUGAGGGCUUCAGAGGGACACGGAAUUCCGGGUGGAGUGGUGAAAUGCGUAGAUAUCCGGAGGAACACCGAAGGCGAAGGCAGUGUCCUGGGGAGCACCUGACGCUCAGAUGCGAAAGCCAGGGGAGCGAACGGGAUUAGAUACCCCGGUAGUCCUGGCCGUAAACGAUGACCACUAGAUGUGUGGGGUAUCGACCCCCUACGUGUCGUAAGCUAACGCGAUAAGUGGUCCGCCUGGGGAGUACGGUCGCAAGAUUA
rnacentral:rRNA from 1 species